GGACCUGAGGUUUUUGUCAUAUCAUUAUGUGCCUUUGAAGGUCAUUGGACUAGCGAGCAUGAGCUCUUUUACCAAAACAGUUAUGAUCUGGCAAGGUUGAGUCAUGAGAACAUAGCAAAGUUUCUGGGCUAUUGCAGAGAGAGUGACCCAUUCUCGAGGAUGUUACUCUUUGAGUACGCAUCAAAUGGGACCCUGUACGAGCACCUACACCAUGGAGAAGAGGCCCAAUUCUCUUUGCUCAAACGAAUGAAAAUAGCCAUCAGCAUCGCCCAAGGUUUAAGGUAUCUGCACACCGAGUCGCAGCCGCCUUUCGCUAUAUCAGAGCUGAACUCCAAUUCAGUAUACGUUAUAGAAGAUUCUACCCCCAAGGCUGACGACGUCGUCUACUGA
rnacentral:rRNA from 1 species